GCCCUUCCUAGAGGAAUUCUGCCUCUGUGUGUCCUGAGUUCACCAGGCAGGUCACUUGCAGCAGAAAAGUUGGUCUUACCUGUGGUCCCGAGGCUCAAGUUUGCUCGUGGGGUGUUGCCUACGAGCUCUCCACAGCGGCAGCCUCCAUUUAAUAUUCUUGAACAGAGGAUUUAUCUCUAUUCCAUUUCCUGUCACACCUUUAAUCUUUGAAACAUACAUUUUGCAUUUUACCUUGUUCAACUUGUAAUAAUUGAUUAA
rnacentral:lncRNA from 1 species